UUUUUUUUUUUUUUUAAUUUAUUUUUUUCUUUAUUUGUUUCUUCCAUUUUAAGUUUCUGUCUCUCAGCGAACAAACCCGAGUUUGACCAUCCUAGAGUCUGUAUCUCUCAAAGCUCAAAACACGAAAGUUGUAGAGUUCUUUCUUAGCUUUUUCACAGCAUUUUGAAUCGUCUCGAUUGGGGCUCGAACGAGAAAGUUACGCAAAGAAUACGAAGUAGUGUCGAUUUUAUCUUCCAAUAAUUGCCCUGCGAUAAAAAUACAAAAAAAUUCAUAAAUUACUCAAUAAAACCCAAAUGUUAUAAAUAGGACACAAUGUUAAAUUAUUGAGAGUAAUUAGGUAUUUAAUUAAAAAUAUACGUCUCAAUGCAUGAAUUAAAACACCUAAUUAUGCAAUUUAAGCGCGUAAUCAUUAUAGAGGAGGAUAAAUUAUAUUUCUGUUGUUAUUACUUUAAUGUUUUGUUGUUACAUCUGAUGCAGUAUUAUUGUACCAUUCUAAAUGUUUAGAUUGAAAAAACCUAAGAAUAGAAUCCGUGGAUUGAAUUUUUGAGAAUGUGGGAACGAUUAAGAACAGUUCUCACUGGUCUCUUUACUUUGUUUUGUUCCUGUGUUAUUCAAAGUUAUUCAGUCUCAUAUAUUUCUUGCUUCUAGUAGUAUUCAUUGAAACCAUGGUUUCAUUGUUGUAUAGGAAUUAUGUUCUGUGCAUUUGUUGUCGGUAUUGUUCCCAUUGCUGUUAUUAUUUUAUUUAGUCUAUUAGAUGGAAUUAAUUGAGGGAAAAAGAUUGGAAAUUCAUGUGACUGCAUCUAUAUCUGAAAUUUGGUACUACAAAGAGGACAGAUUCUUAAUCUGUUGUUAUUACUUUAAACUUUUGUGUUUAUAUUAUUCAACAACAACAACAUCAACAAGCCUUAAGUCCCACUAGGUGGGGUUGACUACAUAAAUCCUUUUCUGCCAAUUCACCCGAUCGAGAGCAUUAAUUCAUUUCUUUACCAAUAAGCGAGUGUGAAAAUUAAAAAAUUAGGACUAGAAUGAUCUGCAAUUUGUAGCUGUUCUGAAUUGUCUUCUUACACUGCCUGCUCCUCUGUUCUUUGAAGCAGCUCUGGUGUUCAAUGAAAGGCCACUACAAACUGGUAGUGAACCAAGAUGCGAUAUCUUUUGUUCCUUUUUUGCUUUAAUUGUUAUUUUUUAUGUAGCUUGCAAACAUGUUGAUUAGGAAUGGAAAACACAAUCAAUGUAUAUUUUUAAGGGUUUUGUUAAGCAAAAUUCUAUUUACAAAUUUCCAUUUAGUUUCUGGGAAAGAUAUAUAGCCUCUUUUUAUAAAUGAAAUUUGGUAUUGCUGGUCUCCUACUUAUAUGUUCAGGUAUCUUUUUCAAAAUGAUUGUAGGUUCAGUUUUAAUAUUUUUUAAGCAAAAGGUGAGUCCUAUACUUGUUUUAUUCCUGUGUUUGUUGAAGUAGUUCAACAAAAGGCCAGUGCAUUUUGUUACUUAACCAAGUUGUCAUUUUUUUCCUUUUAUUUUUUUGCUUUAAUUAUUAUUUGGUGUGUCGCAGGAUUGAUGUGUUUUGCGUAGUUUGUGAACAAGUUGAUUUUGUCUGUUUCCUUAGUGUUCUGUAUUAGAUCUCAAGAAGACAAACAAUGACAUAUGUUAUUCUGGGUUCUGUUGAUCUAAGUUCGUUUUGGAUCCUGAUAUUCUUUUCCUAGAAAGAUAUAAAGCCUUUUCUUAUAAAUGGAAUCUGAUAUUGCUGCCCUCUUGCAUAUAUGCUGUUCAAGGGUUUUUAUUUUUUAUUUUAUUUUAUUUUAUUAUUUUAUUUUUUAUUUUUUAUUUUUUUUAUUUUUUAUUUUUUAUUUUUUAAGACAGUUCCUCAUAGUUCAGUUUGUUAGUUUUGAAUGUGCAAUUUGGCUUCUCUUUUGUCUUCGUUCUAUAUUUGAGGCAUGGAUUGCUAUGAUGUGACCUAGAUUGUAUGGAGGUGAAAGAAAACUGAAGUUAGCUUUGUUCUGUUGUCAAUGAAGUUUCAUUUAAGAGCUAAGUGGUAGAAGACAUUCUGAGAAAGUGACAGUGAGAGAAUGUAAUAAACUAAUAAUAGGUAGUGAAAUGUACAAUCAUGAUGAUAUGCCUUGAUAGGUAGUGAAAUGUACAAUCAUGAUAGUAGGACUUCUAAUGUAUUUUUUAGGCAUAUAAUGAAAGAAUAUUAAUGUCAGAUUUUGAAGAAUCCUUUGAUAAUAUGCGAAUAGGGUGAGGGAAGGGUUAGGGAUAUGAAGUUUAAUAGGGUGAGGGAGGGGGCGGAUAGCCAGGCAGGAGGGGUGUAAGUGAGUCAAGCUCACUCACAAGCUAUUCAAAUGCAACUUGUCCCCUAACUUGACUUGACUGGAUUCUACUCGAGUAUUUUAAUAAGUCGAGUUUGAACUUUGUAAUACUAAUCGAGUCGAGUUUGAGCUUAAUUGAGCCUUUUAAUUUUAUUAUUUUUAUAUUAUAUAAGUCAUACAACAACAAAAACAACAAGAAGUCUUAAGUCCCACUAGGUAGGGUUGAUUGCAUGAAUCUUUUUCCACCAAUUCAACUGAUUAAGAGCAUUUUUUCUAUAUUAGAUUAAAGGCUGUUAAAUCCUUCCUCACUACCUCAUUCCAAGGUAUUUUAGGCCUAUCCCUAUCCCUUUUCAUGUGUGAAAUAGUAACUAACUUCUCCUCAUAGGUGCUCUACUAGACUUGUGUUUUAAAUGCCCAAACCAUCUAAGCUGCCUCUCCCAUAUCUUGUUUUCAACCGGUGCUAUGCCUAAAUUAUUACGUAUAUGUUCAUUCUUACUUUAUCAUUUAAUAUUAAACACUCAUCCACCCUAACAUUCGCAUCUCAGCAACUUUUAUUUUUUGUACACGUUGUUUCAUAGUUGCCCAACAUGUUGAACCAUAAAGCAUAGCUGACCUUAUAGCCGUCAUAUACAAUUUUCCUUUUAAUUUUAAGGAUAUUCUAUGAUCACACAACAAAUCUGACGUACUCCUCCAUUUUACUCAACCUGUUUUAAUUCUAUGUGCUACAUCUUCUUCAAUUUUUCCUUCAGCUUGCAUAAUAAAUUGAAGUUAUAUAAAUCUAUUAAUGCUAUUAAUCUCUUUGAUUAUCAAGUUUAAUCGUCUUUCUAUUGUUAUUCUUUACAUUAUUGAAAUUACAUUUCAUAUAUUCUGUCUUAUUCUUACUUAUCCUAAACCCUUUAAACUCUAAUGUGGCUCCCCAAAGACCUAGCUUAGAUUCCACUAUGCUCCUAGUAUCAUCAAUCAACACGAUAUCAUCUGCAAACAACAUACACCAAGGGAUCUUAUUUUGGAUAUUCCUAGUUAAUUCAUCAAUCAAUAAAGUAAAAAAGAAGUAGAACCUAGAUGUACACCUAUUGUGAUUAGAAAAUCUCCAGAUUCUCCUCCUACAGCCCUAACGCUAGUCAUUACUCUAUCAUACACAUCUUUAAUGAUCUCCAUAUAUCUACUACAAACACCCUUUUUUUCUAGGACCCUCCAAAGAACUUCCCUAGGUAAUCCACCAUAAGCUUUCCUAGCCUCCUAGGUCAAUAAAAACCAUAUGCGAGUCCCUCUUCUUUUUCCUAAACUUUUCCAUUAAACUUCUUAAAAGAUAAAUAACUUCUAUUGUUGAUCUCCAAGUCAUAAAACCAAAUUAAUUUUCUAAAAUCUUCGUUUCUAAUCUUAUUCUAUGUUCAAUUACCCUUUCCUAUAAUUUCAUCGUAUGACUCAUAAUCUUAAUUCCAUGAUAGUUAUUAUAGUUUUAAAUAUCGCAUUUGUUUUUGUACAAAGGUACUAACGUAUUUUUCCUCCAUUCUUCUAAUAUUUUUUUGGUUUUUAUAAUAGUGUUGAAUAGAUUAGUUAACCAAAUAAUUCCUUUAUCCCCUAAACAUUUCUAAACUUCUAUUGGUAUUUUAUCUGGUUUUUAUAGAUUUCUCACUUUUUAUCUUUUUUAAUACCAUCUUAACUUCAAGGACUCUAAUUUUGCAAAUAAAUCUCUUAUUUUUAGUCUUCUCCUCAUUUGUCACUUUAGGGGUAUGGGUGUAGUUUUAUGUGUUUAGGCUUUCUUAUAAAUAGCAUCUUAAAGCCAUGUUUUAGGCAGUUACUACUGAAUUUGAAUUUGAAUUUGAAUUUGAAUUUGAGAACUGAACAUGAGUUCCCCCCAUGUAUCUCCUCUCUCCUCUCUUCCCCUUCCUCUCUUAAAUUUCUUCUCAUCUCUCCCAUGGCUGCAGAUCCCUGAUGCUGCCCCUGCAUCAGGGAUGGGUUACCCUCAAUUGUGUAAUACAAGCCCAAUGAUCUUCCCAAUCAUAUUUAUCAAAAUCACAACCCAGGUCCAUAUGUACCUACUAUACAUACUUGCCUAAUCAAGAAUUUUUUCUGUUUAGGGUUUUAAACAUGAAGGCCCAAUCUGUGUGUGUGUGUGUGUGUGUGUGUGUGUGUAUGUUUUCCCCCAAUUUCUACUUCAGAUGAGGGAAUAGGCAGAAUCAGUCUUCUUAAUGCUGUAAGUGCAUGGUAUUUAUCAGCAUUUUGGGUUAGCCCAAAGAUAAAAGUAUUUUCUAUGAUUAUUGUUUUCCUAAUUCUGCCUUCCAAGAUCCAGAUUGGUUUUGUUCGGAAGUCUCGGCUGCAUUUUGCUAACAACCUAAGAGUCACCACUUCUUAGUAAGUUACCAUAGAACAUAAUCAAAAGCAUAAAAAUUUGUGCGGCCAAUAUGCAUAUAUGCAAAAGGCUCUGACUGAAAAACUGAAAAAAACUGGACUUUAAUAAUUUAUACAAUUUGUUACACCUAAAUAGAAAAUAAUAACAAUAACCACCUUUAGAAUAGAAAUGUAUACAUGCAAAAAAUCUUCUUGUGUUAACACACACGAGAGAAUGAAUCAACACGCACCGACACACACGCCACCCGUGUGAAGACGUCAAGAAAAUUGAAGAAAGGAAAAAAGGUGACUAAAACAAUACCCACAAUUAUGUUCCCUACUAAAUAUAGGGACUAGAAAGCAGCCCUACCAGCCUUCCACAACCCUUACAUUCCUAAUCCAGUCGGAGGCUAGGCAAAUUGUAUCUCCUACCAGCCUUCCACAACCCUUACAUUCCUAAUCCAGUCGGAGGCUAGGCAAAUUGUAUCUCCAUUACCUUUAGAUUUACAUAUAUUGGGGUUUUAAAAAUUGCAAACCCAUUUCAUAUUUCAUGUCUCUGUUGUUUAUGUUUAAUGUCAAUUGACCCCUGAUUGCAACAUUUGGGAAGAAGUCCAUUUCAGGGCCUAACUUCCCUUUGAACAACAUUUUCAUUAGCCCACCACUCUGAGUUGAUGGCAGGCUUACCCAAGGCAUCUACCUUCAUGAAAUUGCUUCCCUUUGAUUGACCUGAGGGUAGUAGAAUGAUGCUUCUUUUGGCUACAAAUUUUACAUUCCUCCUGCAGCUCUCUCAACGUUUGAGAGUCCCAAAUGGGGAGAGACUAAUUCGGACAUGAGAAGCACAAAUGAGGAGUUUAGGGAUGUGUCCUCGUAUCUGUAUCUACAUUUUGCACCAUGUACACAUCCAAUAUAGCCUCAAAGGAAAGUUAUACUCUAUGGAUAUAUCCAUGGAUCUUGCUAUAUGUCUUGAUUUUUUAUCCAUUGCUAUAUGACAAGUAUUCUCUAAUUAAGAUAAUUUGAGAUAUUAAAUUUUAAUGUUUGUAUAAUAUUAUAGAUUAAUUAAUUAUUAAAUACAUAUACAUUUUCAUUACCUUUUUUAUUGUGGCUUAGCUUGAUUUCUAGGCCUACUUUCUUAUAAGGACAAUAGGGCGAUUUUACUGCCACCUCAUAGGUUAUGGAAACAUUCCUUACUAGCCUUAGCCCAAAAACCCACAAUGAGAAUGCAUUCGCCUAAUGAUCUCUAGCAGUAUGUUGUGGCAAAAACACCCAUCCCAUAGAAAAAGGCACAUGGACAUUAGAUUUCCUAAAAUUUUUUUAAUGUGAUCUCUCUCUCUCUCUCUUUGCUAUUUGAUUAAUUAAUGGGGUGCCUCUGUACAUAGUCCUCAGGUUGGUUUAUUGUCUAAGAACAAUGGAAUUAAGAUUUUUUAACUGGGUGAUAUUGGAAAAUUGACUGUUUCAUACAUAAGUUAUUCAGAAUUUGAAAAUUUGAAUUAUUCUUAGUUAUAUAUGAUAUGCAUUUUGUUCGUUAUGAUGUAUGGAUAUGUGUAUUUUUCAGGUGUUUGUAUAUGAUCAAUUUCUGAAUUGGGAAUCACUGAACCGAUCAAAGUCUGAAUUGUCUCUACUAAAUCUUAUUGUUUCUUGUUUAUGCACAACAUAUAAGUAAAAAUUGAAGACUUUAAAAUUCAAAAUAUAUCAGCAGUUUUGUUUAUGUAUUCUCACUUUCCCAACUAAGUCCAGUGGGAUAAGUCUCCUUAUCAUUGCCAUAGAGUUGAUUAAUUAUCUUGUGUUGAUUAAUUGUCCCACCCACUUCUCUACUUAAAAUGCUAGGAAGUUCCUGUGUACUCCUUAGUACGUAACGUCCUCCACUAGCUUAGAUCUUAAUCUUGCUGGGUAGAAAUGGUCAUCUUUGACACCCAGUGUGCUGUGGAAAGUGAAGAAAGGUCUAUUCAGUGUAAUGCACAAUAUUUUGUCUAAGCAUCAAAUCCUCUCCCUAGAUUUCGACAGCAAUAUAAGCAAAGGUGGCGAUGUGGCCCUUUUUUUGCAUUGUCAGAUAUAGUAUCAGCAAUAUUGCAGUGUGGCAUGCCAUCCCUGCUAUUUGAUAUCUGCCUUACAUGCCCUUUUCUCUCCCUUCUUUGAGCCUUAGAUAUAUAUGUUUUGGAACAAAACUGGUUCUUCUGUUGAUCCAUUCUCAUUGUUAGUGAUUGAGUUUUAUUUUUGUACUAGGUACUGGCAAGGCCACUCUUAUCUACUUAUCGUAAUAGGUGUUCAAUUGGAGAUGACGAACACUCUUGGAGCAAAAAUGGGGUGUUAAAUAUUGUUGGUUGCCAUGGUAAGUGCAUUGAUUUCUCAAGGGAGAAAGAGCCUGAUAUUUGGAAUGCCAUCAAGUUUGGGACAGUUUUGGAGAACUCGACAUUUGCUGAGCAUACAGGAGACGUGGAUUGAAUCAAAUUUGUCCCUGAAAAUAGGCAUGCAGCCUGUCCAAAGAAUGUCACUUCUGGCCGACGAAGCACUUGGCCCAGCUGGGAGCAAGUUCAACAAGACAUAAAUAAUGUAUCAUUUGAUUAGUGGCUACACUGCUUUGGUAUAAUUAUUGAUGACUGAGACGAGCACACUGCUAUGCUUGCUAUCAGAUGGCUUGUCAACAUUGCAAGUGUGCAAAACAUGGUGCUACCAAUGGCUUGUCAACGCUAGCUGGUCAGGUGGAAAGUAGGAAUUGGUAUAACUGUAAUCCUACUAGAACUUGUUCAUUUGUGGUGUGAAAAUUGAUCGACUUAAUAUUUCUCUGGGAGUUGCAUUAAGCUACAAUACACUUGAAAAAUCAUCAAUGCCUUACAUUUCAGCAGCCUCUUGGAGGCAACCUACAAAAAGAUAGCAUUUGGGCAGGAGAUACAUGUAUAAUUAAAUUGACUUUACUUGGACAUAAAAUAAAUAUUCUUUACCCUUUCUUUA